ACUGCUUCUCAGCCUUUCGGCUAAGAUCAAAUGUAGUAUCUGUUCUUAUCAGUUUAAUAACUGAUUUGUCAUCUAUCCAAGGACAACAUAUUAAAUGGAUUUUUGGAGCAGGAAGUUGGAAUAGGAGUUUGCUCCAUCCACCCCACGAAUCGACCUGGUCUUUCAGUACUUCCAGGAAUGGUGCAUACCUC